rnacentral:rRNA from 1 species
AAAUAGCCGCAGUAUUUUGACUGUGCGAAGGUAGCAUAAUCAUUUGUCUUUUAAUUGAAGGCUUGUAUGAAAGGUUGGAUGAGGGAAUAACUUUCUUUAUAUUAAAAAUUGAAUUUAAUUUUUAGGUUAAAAAGCUUAAAUUUUUAAAAGGGACGAGAAGACCCUAUAGAAUUUUAUUAUUAUUAUAUUUUUUAAUAUUUUGGUUAUUAUAAUAUUAAUAUUAUAAAAAUUUUGUUGGGGUGAUAGUGAGAUUUUUUUAACUCUUAUAAUUUAUUAAUUGUUAAUUAGCAUAUUUAUGAUCCUAUUUUAUGGAUAAUUAGAUUAAAUUACCUUAGGGAUAACAGCGUAAUUUUUCUGGAGAGUUCAUAUCGAUAGAAGAGUUUGCGACCUCGAUGUUGGAUUAAAAUUAAAUUUAA